rnacentral:rRNA from 1 species
AGCGAACGCUGGCGGCAGGCUUAACACAUGCAAGUCGAACGCCCCGCAAGGGGAGUGGCAGACGGGUGAGUAACACGUGGGAACGUACCCUUUGGUUCGGAAUAACUUGGGGAAACUCAAGCUAAUACCGGAUAAGCCCUUAUGGGGAAAGGUUUACUGCCGAAGGAUCGGCCCGCGUCUGAUUAGCUAGUUGGUGAGGUAAUGGCUCACCAAGGCGACGAUCAGUAGCUGGUCUGAGAGGAUGAUCAGCCACACUGGGACUGAGACACGGCCCAGACUCCUACGGGAGGCAGCAGUGGGGAAUAUUGGACAAUGGGGGCAACCCUGAUCCAGCCAUGCCGCGUGAGUGAUGAAGGCCUUAGGGUUGUAAAGCUCUUUUACCCGGGACGAUAAUGACUGUACCCGCAGAAUAAGUCACGGCUAACUUCGUGCCAGCCGCCGCCGUAA